UACAGAGGGUGCGAGCGUUAAUCGGAUUUACUGGGCGUAAAGCGUGUGUAGGCGGUUUGUUAAGUCGGGUGUGAAAUCCCUGGGCUCAACCUGGGAAUUGCAUUCGAUACUGGCAAGCUAGAGUACGGUAGAGGGCGGCGGAAUUCCGGGUGUAGCGGUGAAAUGCGCAGAUAUCCGGAGGAACACCGAUGGCGAAGGCAACCGCCUGGGCCUGUACUGACGCUGAGACACGAAAGCGUGGGGAGCAAACAGG
rnacentral:rRNA from 1 species